rnacentral:tRNA from 2 species
GGGUUGUUAGCUCAGCGGUAGAGCACUCGGCUUUUAACCGAUCGGUCCAGAGUUCGAAUCUCUGACAACCCA